rnacentral:rRNA from 1 species
AUUGAACGCUGGCGGCAGGCUUAACACAUGCAAGUCGAGCGGAGAUGAGGUGCUUGCACCUUAUCUUAGCGGCGGACGGGUGAGUAAUGCUUAGGAAUCUGCCUAUUAGUGGGGGACAACAUUCCGAAAGGAAUGCUAAUACCGCAUACGUCCUACGGGAGAAAGCAGGGGAUCUUCGGACCUUGCGCUAAUAGAUGAGCCUAAGCCGGAUUAGCUAGUUGGUGAGGUAAAGGCCUACCAAGGCGACGAUCUGUAGCGGGUCUGAGAGGAUGAUCCGCCACACUGGGACUGAGACACGGCCCAGACUCCUACGGGAGGCAGCAGUGGGGAAUAUUGGACAAUGGGGGGAACCCUGAUCCAGCCAUGCCGCGUGUGUGAAGAAGGCCUUAUGGUUGUAAAGCACUUUAAGCGAGGAGGAGGCUACUGAGACUAAUACUCUUGGAUAGUGGACGUUACUCGCAGAAUAAGCACCGGCUAACUCUGUGCCAGCAGCCGCCGUAAGAC